UAGGACGUCGGUUCUAUUUUGUUGGUUUCUAGAGUCGCCGUAAUGAUUAAUAGGGAUAGUUGGGGGCAUUGGUAUUGAGUCGCUAGAGGUGAAAUUCUUGGAUUGACUCAAGACC
rnacentral:rRNA from 1 species